rnacentral:rRNA from 1 species
UGCCCAGUGAACAAUUAAACGGCCGCGGUACCCUAACCGUGCAAAGGUAGCAUAAUCAUUUGUCUACUAAUUAUAGACCUGUAUGAAAGGCAAAAUGAGGGUCUAACUGUCUCUUAUAGUCAAUCUAUUAAACUGAUCCCCUAGUAAAAAAGCUAGGAUACCAACAUAAGACCAGAAGACCCUGUGAAGCUUAAACUAAACUAUUAAACCACAUAAUAACUACUUUCGGUUGGGGCGACCUUGGAAAAAAAAAGAACUUCCAAHUAUAUGACCUUCAUCAUACUAAANGGCACACAAGCCAACAAACGACCCAGCACAGCUGACCAAUGAACCAAGUUACUCCAGGGAUAACAGCGCAAUCCUCUUCAAGAGCCCAUAUCAAAAAGAGGGUUUACGACCUCGAUGUUGGAUCAGGACAUCCUAAUGGUGCAGUCGCUAUUAAGG